GUAGGUGGCAAGCGUUGUCCGGAAUUAUUGGGCGUAAAGCGCGCGCAGGCGGUUCUUUAAGUCUGAUGUGAAAGCCCACGGCUCAACCGUGGAGGGUCAUUGGAAACUGGAGAACUUGAGUACAGAAGAGGAAAGCGGAAUUCCACGUGUAGCGGUGAGAUGCGUAGAGAUGUGGAGGAACACCAGUGGCGAAGGCGGCUUUCUGGUCUGUAACUGACGCUGAGGCGCGAAAGCGUGGGGAGCAAACAGGAUUAGAUACCCUGGUAGUCCACGCCGUAAACGAUGAGUGCUAAGUGUUAGGGGGUUUCCGCCCCCCUUAGUGCUGCAGCUAACGCAUUAAGCACUCCGCCCUGGGAGUACGGCCGCAAGGCUG
rnacentral:rRNA from 1 species